GCGGCCCGGGUGGGAUAACAGUAACGUCUGUGCUCUGGCUGGAUGCACUUGAGCCUGGAGAUCCACAGUACCUCCUUCGACCGCUCCCUCUGCGCCUGAAGUCAUUAUCUCUUGUGGUCACAGCUUAUUUCCUUGUGACUCUGCUCACAAUGACCCUCUACAUCCCUUUCUCUCAUGAAAAAUCUCAAUUUCUUUCCGCAUUGAGAUUUAAGGACUGGCUCUUCUCUACCCGUGAUGUCUUCCAAUUGAAUAAAUAAAAGAGAGGAAGCAAACCGAAAAUCACCUGGCGAGGUUCAGAUUGUUCCUCUAGGUAAAAGAACAACUACACCUUUCAUGUAUGCGGCGCAUUAGAGCCAUGAUCUCAUCUGAUUUUCCUGGCCAUGGACAAUCAGGUCAGUUAAGGUCCUCUGAGAGGAAUUUAGGCCUCCUGCUGUGAUCUGGGAAAGGGACUCAGAUCCCUCAAGCUCCUCAGGUCUCUCCUGAGUUUCUUCUCAUCCCAUCUGGUCACCAGGAGCCUGUGUUGGUGUCCAGCAGCCCCAAGGCACAGUGCCACAAUCAUCUGCAUUUUUCAAAUGAGAAAACUAAGUCACAGAGAAGAUGUUGGCAUGGAUAUGGAGAAAAGGGAACACUUCUGCACUGCUGAUGGGAAUGCAAGCUAGUACGUUCCUUUUGGAAAGAAGUUUGGAGAACACUCAGGGAUCUAAAUGUAGACCUGCCAUUUGAACCUGCAAUUCCUCUACUAGGUGCAUAUCCAAAAGACCAAAAAUCACGUGGCAACAAAAAUAUUUGCACCAGAUUGUUCAUUGCAGCUCAAUUCAUAAUUGCCAAGUCUUGGAAGAAGCCCAAGUGCCUAUCGAUACUCUAAAAUUUUUUUUCCUUUAUUCUUUUUUUUAUUAAAUCAUAGCUGUGUACAUUAAUAUGAUCAUGGGGCAUCAUACACUUGGUUCAUAGACCAUUUGACACAUUUUCAUCACACUAGUUAACAUAGCUUUCCUGGCAUUUUCUUAGUUAUUUUGCUAAGACAUUUACAUUCCACAUUUACUAAGUUUCACAUAUACCCUUGUAAGAUGCACCGAUACUCUAAAAUUUUUAUCAUAAAUUUAAUAGCUUCAAAUAAUGUCACUUCUACCAUAUUGUAAAACUAUAGCUAAGCCUAAUACCUGGACCACAUAGGUUCUCUCAGACAGAUCAGUUUUAGGCAAACAAUGUAUAUGGAAGUUGAAUAUAUGGAAACUGACUCCCAUAAGACAACCCACACCUGCAGGAGACUCUUUAGAAAGUCUUUGUGUACCUUCAAGAGUAUUGGGCACAGAUGCCAUGUGAAAAUCAUUUUGCUGAACUAACAGUGCAAACACAAAAGUUCUAGCUGGGGCAAUAUUUAACCCUGUCCACUUCCUGGAUUUUUGCUUGGGUCAAACGUGCUAGAUGGGCUGGCACUUUGUCAUAUUAAAGGAGCAAGUGUAUUCCAUGACAAAAUCUAGGUGAUGAUGCUUUCAACCUCUACACACACUCUUCAGUUGCUGGGAAUAACGGGAUACUCAUAGCAUAACUAUGUGAAUCAAUCACGAGCAAAAUUACUCACCAGAAAUUCCUUCUUUUUCACCUUCCUCCAUCUAAAAUGCCCAUUCCUUUGAGUCAUUUGUUGUUUAUCUUUGGA